rnacentral:piRNA from 1 species
UAGGAUCUCUGCUCUGUUGAG